GAUGAACGCUGGCGGCGUGCCUAAUACAUGCAAGUCGAGCGAACGGACGAGAAGCUUGCUUCUCUGAUGUUAGCGGCGGACGGGUGAGUAACACGUGGAUAACCUACCUAUAAGACUGGGAUAACUUCGGGAAACCGGUGCUACUACCGGCUAAUAUUUUGUACCGCAUGGUUCAAAAGUUAAAGACGGUCUUGCUGUCACUUAUAGACGGAUCCGCGCUGCAUUAGCUAGUUGGUAAGGUAACGGCUUACCAAGGCGACGAUGCAUAGCCGAGCUGAGAGGAUGAUCAGCCACACUGGAACUGAGACACGGUCCAGACUCCUACGGGAGGCAGCAGUAGGGAAUAUUGCACAAUGGGCGAAAGCCUGACGGAGCAAGGCCGCGUGAGUGAUGAAGGUCUUCGGAUCGUAAAACUCUGUUAUUAGGGAAGAAAAUAUGUGUAAGAAAAUGUGCACAUCUUGACGGUACCUAAAGAAAAAGCAACGGCUAACUACGUG
rnacentral:rRNA from 1 species